GUCAGUAUAGUUUAAUAAAAACAUUAGAUUGUGAUUCUAAAAAUUGGGAUUAAUAAUCCCCUACUCACC
rnacentral:tRNA from 1 species